GUAAGCAGAUUAUUAUAGAAGCAGAAGGAGCAGGUUAGGGGAGAAGGGGGGGCCUAACAAAAAGUUCUACUUAAAAUUGUUUUUUUAACUCAGGAUGUGGGGUAGCAGUGUGGAGUAGCAGUUACACGGUUACAGAUACAAGUUGUACAGGGCUGGUGGUCCCUGUUUCUCAGAAAAUUGGUUACAAAGAUGCCAGGUGUCUCAGACCACAAGCUUUUGGAACAGAAUGCCCUACAUAACUCAGGGUGGGCAAACAUAGCUCAGGGUGGGCAAAAUGGAGUUGGCAGGAUUAUUUAAAAUGUAUUCAUUAUAGCCAAGCUCAAGCUAGGGUAUUUCAGAAGCGUGAGGAGGGCCAGGUUUAUUGGGUGAAAAGAAAAAGAAGGAAACAGGCACUCUCCACAAGGCCAGAGUCCUGCUAGAGUGCUUCCUGCCUGGCAGAUUGAACUCUGGGUUCCACCCAGGAAGACGAGGGGCCAAGCUCCUUCCCCUGGCAAACAGCAUGAACCUCCAUGGCUCCACCCCAGCACACUCCACCCAGUGUGCAGGCAGGCUGGAGUUUUUCUGGGGACCCCUUCCCGCCUGGCUAUCUCAAUAAGAACCGAGAUGGAGUCUUGCUCUGUCACCAAGGCUGGAGUGUAGUGGCACGAUCUCAGCUCACUGCAACCUCUGUCUCCUGGGUUCAGGCGAUUCUCCUGCUUCAGCCUCCCGAGUAGCUGGCAUUACAGGUAUGUGCCACCACAACCAUGCUAAUUUCUGUAUUUUUAGUAGAGACGGGGUUUCACCAUGUUGACCAGGCAGGUCUCAAACUCCUGACCUCAGAUGAUCCACCCACCUUGGCCUCCCAAAGUGCUGGGAUUGCAGGCAUGAGCCACUGUGCCCAGUGCCAUUAUUUUUUGUAACAACCUUUUUUCUUCUCCUAGACUCCAUUCUUUCACACACUCAUACAAACAAAUAUAUAUUAUAUAUAUAUAUUUGUACACACAAGUCUAACAUAUAAUUUAAUAAAUGAGAAAAACAAUGAAUUGGAGCAGCAGAUUAAAAAAAAAAAACAAAACCAAUACAUUAACUGAACCUAUUCUGCAUAAUUGUUUAUUUGUUACACAAAGCAGUGUGAGACACAUUAUUGUCAACUGAAGAAUUUCAAUAAAAUUGUGCCAAAAAAGACUUAUGAAAAGGUGAACUCAAGAGUUAACAAUACAUUUACAUAUAUAACUAAGAUCUUCAUUUUUCCCUUCAUUUUCUGACCAUUUUGGUCCUAGUCAGUAUGCAUAGCAGAGAAACGUAGGAGAAUGCACCAGGGAUAAGUGCACUGGGACGUAGGUGGGAUUUGAGAGCCCCAGCAACAUGAGGAGGGCAUUGUGCAUCCAGCAUGCCUUGCUUGAAGUGUCAGAGCCUGACAGUAGUGAGGAGAGUGAUUAUGCUCAGAAAGGGACAGUGUGGCAUAAAGAUUAGCCUAAAUAGGUUGAGAAGGAUUCUACACAGACGCGUGAGCUACUAUAAGGAGCUGGAGCCCAUGUAUAGUGAGAAGUGCAUCCAUGUGGGUUGCAGAGAAUAAAAGUGGACAGAGAUGGAGACAAUUCCUAUGUAUUAUUGUCACAAGUAUGUUUUAUUUUCCUGAAUGGAAAGAUAGUGUCUCCUGCUGCUUUGUAUAGCACAUAGCAAGUAAAUAUAUUAAGAAUAAUGGGAGACUGAGUUUUUAUUGUCAGAAAAGAUAAUUACUGACAUAGAAAAAAAAGUACGUGCACCAAGUUCCAUUAAUAUGAAAUUAGAGAUAUUAGUGUAUAAACUCAUUUUUUUACCCUAUAAAGGUCGAUUAAAAAGUAAUUAAUAUAUAUUUGGAUGUGCAUAUAUGUAGAUGGAUGAUGCUCCCAUAACAGUGAGUAUACAGAUCACAAAAAUCUAUGCUUUUAAAUACUACUCUUC
ensembl:lncRNA